GACGAACGCUGGCGGCGUGCCUAAUACAUGCAAGUCGAGCGGACCAAAGGGAGCUUGCUCCUGGAGGUUAGCGGCGAACGGGUGAGUAACACGUGGGCAACCUGCCUGUAAGACUGGGAUAACAUCGAGAAAUCGGUGCUAAUACCGGAUAAUAAAAAGAACUGCAUGGUUCUUUUUUGAAAGAUGGUUUCGGCUAUCACUUACAGAUGGGCCCGCGGCGCAUUAGCUAGUUGGUGGGGUAACGGCUCACCAAGGCGACGAUGCGUAGCCGACCUGAGAGGGUGAUCGGCCACACUGGGACUGAGACACGGCCCAGACUCCUACGGGAGGCAGCAGUAGGGAAUCUUCCGCAAUGGACGAAAGUCUGACGGAGCAACGCCGCGUGAGUGAUGAAGGUUUUCGGAUCGUAAAACUCUGUUGUUAGGGAAGAACAAGUGCCGUUCGAAAGGCGGCACCUUGACGGUACCUAACGAGAAAGCCACGGCUAACUACGUGCCAGCAGCCGCGGUAAAGUAC
rnacentral:rRNA from 1 species